CCUACGGGUGGCAGCAGUGGGGAAUAUUGGACAAUGGGCGAAAGCCUGAUCCAGCCAUGCCGCGUGUGUGAAGAAGGCCUUCGGGUUGUAAAGCACUUUCAGUGGGGAAGAAAGCCUUGGGGCUAAUACCCUCGAGGAAGGACAUCACCCACAGAAGAAGCACCGGCUAACUCCGUGCCAGCAGCCGCGGUAAUACGGAGGGUGCGAGCGUUAAUCGGAAUUACUGGGCGUAAAGCGCGCGUAGGCGGUCUGAUAAGCCGGUUGUGAAAACCCCGGGCUCAACCUGGGAACGGCAUCCGGAACUGUCAGGCUAGAGUGCAGGAGAGGAAGGUAGAAUUCCCGGUGUAGCGGUGAAAUGCGUAGAGAUCGGGAGGAAUACCAGUGGCGAAGGCGGCCUUCUGGACUGACACUGACGCUGAGGUGCGAAAGCGUGGGUAGCAAACAGGAUUAGAUACCCCAGUAGUC
rnacentral:rRNA from 1 species